UACGUAGGGUGCUAGCGUUGUUCGGAAUCAUUGGGCGUAAAGCGCGUGCAGGCUGUUAAAUAAGUCGGAUGUGAAAUCCCUGGGCUCAACCGAGGAAGUGCAUUCGAAACUAUUUAGCUAGAAGAUGGUAGAGGAAGGUGGAAUUCCAAGUGUAGAGGUGAAAUUCGUAGAUAUUUGGAGGAAUACCGGUGGCGAAGGCGGCCUUCUGGGCCAUUCUUGACGCUGAGACGCGAAAGCGUGGGUAGCAAAC
rnacentral:rRNA from 1 species